rnacentral:rRNA from 1 species
CCAGUGGCGUCGCAAGGCGUGGCUGGGGUUGUAGGACCGCGACAUUGUAUGCAAAUCGUGAACAGAACACUUUGGAAAAUGUGACCAUAGACGGUGAUAGUCCAGUAUGUGAAGCGAAAUGCAGCAUAGCGGUAUCCUGAGUAACGCGGGACCCGAGGAAUCCUGCGAGAAUCUGCCGGGACCAUCCGGUAAGGCUAAAUACUCCCGUGAGACCGAUAGCGAACGAGUACUGUGAAGGAAAGGUGAAAAGAACCCCGAGCAGGGGAGUGAAAUAGUUCCUGAAACCAUACGCCUACAAGCGGUCGGAGCAUCUUACGAUGUGACGGCGUGCCUUUUGCAUAAUGAUCCUACGAGUUACCGUCACUGGCGAGGUUGAGUGUCACGAGACACGUAGCCGCAGUGAAAGCGAGCCUGAAUAGGGCGCACAGUCAGUGGGGGUAGACGCGAAACCAAGUGAUCUACACUUGGCCAGGAUGAAGUCCCGGUAACACGGGAUGGAGGUCCGCACCAAUAAGCGUUGAAAAGCUUCUGGAUGAGCCGAGUGUAGGAGUGAAAGGCCAAUCAAACUUGGAGAUAGCUCGUACUCCCCGAAAGGCAUUUAGGUGCCGCGUCGGAUGGUCACCGUGAGAGGUAGAGCGACCGAUAGGACAAGAGGGCUUCACCGCCUAUCAAGUCCUGACGAACUCCGAAUGCUCACGGUCUGCAGUCCGGCAGUAAGGGGGCGGGUGCUAAGGUCCGUCCCCGAGAGGAGAAGAAUCCAGACCGCCGUCUAAGGUCCCGGAGUUCUGCCUGAGUUAGUCUAACGAAGUCUGGUCCCUAUGACAGCUAGGAUGUUGGCUUGGAAGCAGCCAUUCAUUCAAAGAGUGCGUAACAGCUCACUAGUCGAGGGUCCGGGCAUGGAUAAUAAUCGGGUAUAAGGCAGACACCGAAGGCGCGGGAUAGCAUUUAAGAAAGUAUCGGUAGGGGAGCAUACUCACAGCGUUGAAUGGUGUACGUAAGUUAUCCUGGAGCGGUGAGUAAAGCAAAUGUAGGAAUAAGUAACGAUAAGGAGGGUUAGAUUCCCUCCCGCUGUAAGACCAAGGUUUCCCGGGCAAUGCCAAUCAGCCCGGGGUCAGUCGGGUCCUAAGUCUAAGCCGAACGGCGAUGGCGAUGGCAGAGACGGUUAAUAUUCCGUCACUGCCGCAUGGGGCGACGUGGAGACGGAGCAGUGAAACCACCGCGGGGCGACGGAAGUCCCCGUUGAAGAGUGUAGGCGUUGAGGAUGGCAGGCAAAUCCACCAUCCGAGCUGAACUUGACAGUACGGAGUCCUCCUCGGAGGAAUCUGAUAGUGUGGGUAAUCAUACUCCCGAGAAAAUCCGCUAAGCUUAACCCAUGCGGCACCCGUACCGCAAACGGACACACGUGGUCGGGUAGAACAUACUAAGGCGUUGAGAGAUUCAUGGUUAAGGAACUAGGCAAAUUGACCCUGUAACUUCGGGAUAAAGGGUCCUCGUGAUGAGCGAGGCGCAGAGAAUAGGUCCAGGCAACUGUUUAACAAAAACACAGGGCUGUGCAAACUCGAAAGAUGACGUAUACAGCCUGACACCUGCCCGGUGCCGGAAGGUUAAGAGGAGAUGUCACUCGCAAGAGGAAGCAUUGAAUUGAAGCCCCGGUAAACGGCGGCCGUAACUAUAACGGUCCUAAGGUAGCGAAAUUCCUUGUCGGGUAAGUUC